rnacentral:rRNA from 1 species
AGGAUAAACGCUGGCGGCGUGCCUAACACAUGCAAGUCGAACGCCCUUUUGCUCGCAAGAGCCAGAGGGAGUGGCGGACGGGUGAGUAACACAUGGGUAACCUACCCCCCAGUGAGGAAUACCGGCGAGAAAUCGCCGACAAGACCGCAUAGGCUCGGUCCGGUGAAGCGGAGCGAGCAAAGUCUCUUUUUUGAGAAAGAGGGAGACGCUGAGGGAUGGGCCUGUGGCCGAUUAGCUAGUUGGUAAGGUAAAGGCUCACCAAGGCGACGACGGGUA